UUUUAAAAACAUACAAUAAAAAAAUUAUUUAAAAAAUAUAUAUAAAUGUUUAUAAACAGUUAUAACUUUCGUAAACAGUAUUAAGUCAUCUACAGAAUCAUCAUAAGAAAUGGAUAAAACCAAUCAAGUACAUUUCGUCAAGCAGAAUAUAGCAAAUUUAAAAAUCAGUAAAAUGAUCCUUUAAACUCUGUUUAAACAUGAAAAAUGGCUCCUCAAUAAGCUUAUUUCUUAUAGUAACAUUAAGUUCAGAAAAGGUUUUCGGAAAUCUAACUACCCCCAAGUAUUUAAACGCAUCAGUACGAGUUUUAGCAUGAUGGAAGGUAAGUAUAUCUUGAUGCCUAUUAUUAAUUUCAAAUAAAUCGACAUAACCCCUCAUAAAAUCAGAUCGUGGAGAAAUGAGUAGUUGCAAUGAAUGUCAUGUUCAAAAAGUCUCGCCUUUUCUCAACAGACAGUAAGCCUAACUCAGUUCUUCUAUCAUGAUAAGACUGGUCUAAAUAUCCUUUCCUUAAAAUCAUGCAAGUAGCUCUCCGCUGUACUGAUUCCAACUGUUUUAUAUGUGUUGUUACAUUAUUGAGGGCGUUAUUACAUUUCAAGGUGGGCGUUGUCACAUUUGUGGUUUAAUUGACUCCGUAUAUAGUUUUAUGUUUUAUUGGCAUAAGUAACUCUCGGUAUCAUGAUGAUAUUAUUUUCCAGAGAAGUCAUGAAGAAGAAGAAAAGGACUCAUUAAAGCAAGAAAAUCGUGACCUUCAAAGACAGCUCGAAGAAUUAAAAAAAAGACGUUUUGAAGAAUUUUCAGCAGAUAAUGAGGUGGAAAUGGUUGAAAGUAAGAAACGUUUUGAAGAAUUAUCAGCAGCAGAUAAUGAGGUGGAAAUGGUUGAAAGUGAGGUGUGUGACAGACACAACUGCAAUUGCCUUCAUUGUGAAGCCUGUCAUUGCCAUAUAGGCACAGAAGUCGAGAUGCAGGAACACAAAGCUAUAUGCACCUGUAAUCCCGAGUCACAGCUGUUUGGCAGAUGAAUUUACUCAAUCCUCCGGGCCGUCAUCUAUUGUUAUAUGGUUAUAUGAUCAUUAUUAUUAUCAUCAUCAUUUAUUUCAUUUUAUUUCUAUUUUAUUUUUUAUACCAUUGUCAUUGCGCCCCUUAACAUUGCAUUCUGUAGUUUUUUAUUGGGCUAUGCAAAUCGUUGAUUGAUUGAUUGAUUGAUGUACAAUAGAAACUCCAUUUUGGGGACAGGUUCAAGACCAAUACAGUAUAAAUAUCCUCUUUAAUGUUAGGCUCCGGAGGAAUUUUUUUUAUGUGUUGUUCAUUUUUUUCUAAGACAAAAAGGGUGUCGGUUAAUGAGAUACAGAUUUUUGAAUAUUUAAGAACUGGAAGAAAUGGGUUGGAAAAGCGUGGUACGCCUCUUUUCCAGGUAUAAAAAUCAUUUGCUCUUCACUUACCCAAUAGGGAAACAGACCCGUAGAUUUGUAUAUACGUUACACAUGUUUAUAUAGAUAAGUUGACCUGCUGACUGUGUUUCACUAUUGUGCUGGUGGUUGUUCUUUUUUAUUGUUUUGUCUUCUUUUGUCUUGAUGUAAUGUAACUCUUUUUUAGGUUAGCCAAACGUUAUCCAAGCGCCGCUCUUGUUGAAUUGUGGGUAUCCCAAAGGGGGUGGGGGCGGGGGGUUAACCUAACUUCCACACUUGAAACUAAAAUUGUCUUUAUUAUGUAUAUGUUAUAUAACUAUAAGAUAUAUAUGUAUAUAUAUAUUUUUAACAUAAUACAUCAUAUACAUAUGUAUAAUAUAUUUUAAUUUCAUGUUUUAGUAAUCAUUUUAAAUUAUAUUUAGUUUGUAAUUAAGGAUUAUUUUAGUAUGUAAGUUGUAUUAUCUCUUCCAGGACAAACCAAUUAAAUGACUCAGUGUUGCGUAAUACCUCCAUGAUAGCAAAAUAAAUCUUUACCAUGGAGGAAUAAUUCCUCCGUGGAUAUACCCUGUGAUAGUCAUUAAGCACUAACCUACACUAUUAUAUUCUUUUUUUGUAAACGAAACUGUCUUUUACAACAGUGGCACACGUAGGUCCAAGAAAAAAAAACAAAACUAACAAAAUGAAAACAUGACAAAUCUAAAAUCUAAGAGAUUAACAGAAAGUACAAAUCAGUGUCUUACCCCUCCCUCCCCUUCUCCAGUCAGGAGUACAAACACCGAAACCCAUAUUAUCCAUUUAUCAUUUCCUUUUUACACUUUUUAAGUUCCGCUAUUAAACAUUUCAAAAUACAAACGCUAAUGUUAAAACAAUUAUUUCGAAAAAUUAAAACACAAAGGCAUUUAAAAACACAAAUGUAAAACCAAACCUAAUUUCUACCAGCCCUCAGACAAGGCAGCUCUUCCUUUUCAAAAUCAAAAUUUAAACAUUAGCACUUUUAAUACAGAAAACGAAAAACAAAUUAAAAGGUAACAUAAAGAUAUGUGCAUAAUACACACACACACACACAUAAAUUAAAAGAUAAUAUUAAGAUAUGUGCAUAAUACACACACACACACACACACACACACACAUACAUAAUACAAAAUGUAUACAUAUCACACAGCCUAUCUGGAAUGUAACAGCAAUGAAAGAACAGUACAAUUUUGAAGACGGAAAAAUUGUGAAAAAUCCCGCAAAACUUUGUUAUUGUUGCUCCAAUCAUGGAGGUAUAAGUUGUUAGUACCUCUUCCAACCACAUUCAUUACCUUAUUUGGUAUACAUAAUUAGCAUAUAUCUUUGCUAAUGAUUUACCGUAUUUGGUAAUGAUGAGGUACAGAUGGUCCCUGUUGAAAACAUAAAAGUGACUUAGGGGUGUUAAUUAGGAUUGGGAACCAAAACUUACUCAUGAUUAAUUGAAAAAAAAGGCCUAGACCAUAUAGAACUUAUUAAGUCACAAAAGGAGGAACCUAUUAAGAUGCCAGGAACAUUCUGAAGUGAAAGAAAUAGAAUCAAGAAGUCCAGUGAGAGGAGAGUUUGCUGAAGAUCACCUAGGCCUAUGCCUGUUCAACAUGGGAUGGUUUAUGGUGUUACCUCAUUAUUCUGAUCGGAAUUCUUCAUUUGCAAUUUCCGCUUUUUGAAUUCGCUGCUAUACAUUUAAGCCCUAACUUUGGUUUGGACUUCUUCUGUAUUGGUUUCGCUUCAUUCGUUUGCAUAAUCGAACACUGUUUACUGUUUGGUGAAUGGACACACUCAUAUUUUAUCUUCAAUUUAAUUUAUUUAAUUUUUUAAUUUAUGUAUUUAUUUGAUUAAUUUAUUAAUUAAUUUAUUUAAUUUGUUCAUUUAUUUAUUUAUUUUAUUUAUUUAUUUAUUUAUUUAUUUAUUUAUUUAUUUAUUUAUUUAUUUAUUUAUUUAUUUAUUUUUAUUUAAUUUAAUUAUUUUAAUUUAAUUUAAUUAGUUUGAUUUGAACUCCUCCGGCAUUGGUUUCGCUUCAUUAGUUUGCAUAUUCGAACACUUUACUGUUUGGUGAAUGGACAAUCAUAUUUUAUCUUCAAUUUAAUUUAUUUAAUUUAUUAAUUAAUUUUAUUAAUUAGUUAAUUAAUUUUAUUAUUUAUUUUAACAGUUAAUUUCUCUUUAGUUAAUUUCUUGUAAAUAAAUAAUUGAUAUUUCUUUAUUUAUGUUUUCUGUGCUUUCCUAAGACUGGCUAAAGUCCGUCACUAUCAUCGAUCCUAGCCAUCUUAGGUUAUUUUACUAGUUGUUUGUUAUUUCUGUUGUUUUAACUGUAUAAAUUGUAUUGUAAAUUUUUUUGGCUGAAUAAAGAAUGAAUGAAAGAAUAAUCUCA
rnacentral:lncRNA from 1 species